rfam:Ipomoea nil DNA, scaffold: scaffold0465, cultivar: Tokyo-kokei standard.
GUUGGUGUGGUGUAGUGGUUAACAUGUUAGUCUUACACAUUGAAGGUCCUCAGUUCAAUCCUAGGCAUUAACA